UACAGAGGUGGCAAGCGUUGUUCGGAAUUACUGGGCGUAAAGGGCGCGUAGGCGGCCUUCUUAGUCGGACGUGAAAUCCCCAGGCUCAACUUGGAACUGCGUCCGAUACUGGAUGGCUUGAGUGCGGGAGAGGGAUGUGGAAUUCCAGGUGUAGCGGUGAAAUGCGUAGAUAUCUGGAGGAACACCGGUGGCGAAGGCGGCAUCCUGGACCGACACUGACGCUGAGGCGCGAAAGCUAGGGGAGCAAACGGG
rnacentral:rRNA from 1 species